rnacentral:ncRNA from 1 species
UUAAAUGCGAUGAUGAGAAGAGUAGAAUAAAUCACUUUUUGUACAGAGAGCUCCAGCCGCUGAAAAGGAGUCAAAAAGUCUUAUUUGAAACAAGCCUCUGAGCAGCGGAUCGGACCGGAUCAACCGGGUAUGGUACGACAGGCGCUCCUGUUACAGAGCUAGGGUAUAACCGUCAACCGUCUGCUGAUCAAAGCAGAUUGGCAUAGCGGCGUACCUGAUAAGGCGGAUAUAGUGAUAUAUUCGCAAACUGGGGUGGCACCGCGAUCAGAAUCUCGUCCCCAAG